rnacentral:rRNA from 1 species
AGAGUUUGAUCCUGGCUCAGGAUGAACGCUAGCGACAGGCUUAACACAUGCAAGUCGAGGGGCAGCGGGGUGUGGCAACACAUCGCCGGCGACCGGCGCACGGGUGAGUAACGCGUAUGCAACUUGCCUAUCAGAGGGGGAUAACCCGUCGAAAGACGGACUAAUACCGCAUGAAACAGGGGUCCCGCAUGGGGAUAUUUGUUAAAGAUUAUAUCGCUGAUAGAUAGGCAUGCGUUCCAUUAGGUAGUUGGCGGGGCAACGGCCCACCAAGCCGACGAUGGAUAGGGGUUCUGAGAGGAAGGUCCCCCACACUGGUACUGAGACACGGACCAGACUCCUACGGGAGGCAGCAGUGAGGAAUAUUGGUCAAUGGGCGAGAGCCUGAACCAGCCAAGUCGCGUGAGGGACGACGGCCCUACGGGUUGUAAACCUCUUUUAUAAGGGAAUAAAGGACAUCACGUGUGGUGUUUUGCAUGUACCUUAUGAAUAAGCAUCGGCUAACUCCGUGCCAGCAGCCGCGGUAAUACGGAGGAUGCGAGCGUUAUCCGGAUUCAUUGGGUUUAAAGGGUGCGUAGGUUGCCGAUUAAGUCAGCGGUGAAAGUCAGUGGCUCAACCAUUGAAUUGCCGUUGAAACUGGUUGGCUUGAGUACGUACGGGGCAGGCGGAAUGCGUGGUGUAGCGGUGAAAUGCAUAGAUAUCACGCAGAACCCCGAUCGCGAAGGCAGCCUGCCAGGCCGUGACUGACACUGAUGCACGAAAGCGUGGGUAUCGAACAGGAUUAGAUACCCUGGUAGUCCACGCAGUAAACGAUGAUCACUAGCUGUUUGCGAUAGAUUGUAAGCGGCACAGCGAAAGCGUUAAGUGAUCCACCUGGGGAGUACGCCGGCAACGGUGAAACUCAAAGGAAUUGACGGGGGCCCGCACAAGCGGAGGAACAUGUGGUUUAA